CGGUAACCAUUAGCAACGAAAUUAAACAUAAAACCAUAAAUCGAUAUGUUUUCUAAAAUAAUUUUACAAUACACAUGUAUUUUAUGAUGAUAAAAUAUGAGUUUCCUGUGUAUGAAAUUACAGCCACACCAUAAAGGUUAAAAGGUACAAUUUCAGUGUCCUUUACAGGAGGACACCCUCUGAAAAUAUGAAACAGGUUUUAUAAGAUGCCGUAUUUUAACACAGCAACAGCUGAAAUAUUUUUGUUGUUAAACGGAAAUAUUCUACCGUAGGUAAUGAAUUAUCUGAAUAUUUCGUUCAAUAUUAUAUUAUUAUCAAUGUGCGAUCGGUUGUCACGGUAAAGCGCAAACGUGAAUGAAUUAAACAUGAAAUUAAAAUUCGUUAUCACGCACGUGCACCUGGGAAUUAGUUGGCACAUUGUUGGAUCGGAUUGAUUAUAAUAUAGGUAAUAUCAAUACAAAUUCAAUAUUCAUUGUUAAGACAGGACAAUGUUAUCAACAUCUGUUGGGUCAGCUAGUAAAUUAUAAAAAAAAUCAAGAUUCAUAAGCAUUUCAGCAUUCUAUUUUUAUUUUACAAUAUUAUCUUAAUUAAAAAAAGAAAAACAAAAUUUAAUGCUUACAUGCGCCUUAACAUAGGUAUGCGUGUAUAGAAGUAGCAACUCAUUCGACACUAACGUGCUGCACUGUUGUGUAUGACUAUUUUAUCAAGGGGAACAACAGAAUUCUUAGAUACAUAAAUAACUAGUUAGCAAUUAACAUUUAUAACGUUGUGCGUUUUAUUUGUUCAAGAAGAUGAAGUAUUAGUAUGGGCACAUUAUGUAUUGGUAUGUUCGAUGUCCUCUUAUGUUAUCUACGUACAUUUUUACGAAAAGAAUAAUAGUGGUUGGCAAUCGGCAUAACGCAUUGGUAUUAGAAUAUUAUAUUAUAUAACUUUAUUUUAUUUUUAAAAAUUGGUAAUAAAAUCGAAUUUGACUAUAAAAAU